rnacentral:lncRNA from 1 species
UUUUUGGUCUUAUUUCUUUUAAAAUUGGGUCAAUUCCUAAAGGCCCAAAUUAAUUUUAAACCCCGACCCAAAUCCAAUACCACUGCCGAAAUACCCAUUACCUUUUACCCUACCCCUUGCAUAUACAAACACAAUUUAGAAACCAAAAAAUCAAACCCCUAGAUCAAAGGAGAGCAAAAACUGCGGAUCUAAAAACCUCCCCCUCCCCCCCUCUCGUUCAUAACCUUCUUCAGCAGAACACCAAAAAAAAACUCCUCCAUUCCUUCUAAAAUCACAAGAAAAUAACAGGACUCUUCACUCAGAGAAGAAGAAGAAAGCUUUCCCUCCUUUCCGUCUCAUCUUACUCGUCUUUCCUUGUUUGUGACAAAUUGCGGAUCUAGCUAGAAGUGACAUUAAAUCCGGCAAUCCAUGGAGGAUCUAGUCAAACUCCAAGAGAUGAAACGAAAACUGAAAAUAAAGGAUUUGAAGGCUAUUUGAAUUUCUGCUCUCUUAUUUUCAAUUUUUCUGAAAUUUUUGAGUGACAUUUGGGUUGUAGAAGUGUGGUUGGGUCACUAAAUCUGUUGCUGUUAUGUUGCUAGGUUUCCUCUCAUUAUUUCAGAAGCUUGUUUGUGGUGUUUUCUUCAUUUAAUUCCGGCUUGGUUAGGUAUGUACACAUCUGCCCGAAAUCUUCUUUUGAAUACGAAUGAAUAGUCGAAUUGUUGACUCUAUGAAUAUGUUUGAUUCUUCGUAUUCUUCUAGUCGGAUUGUUGGUUAAUUUCCGUUGUCAUCAAUUCUGUUUUUGUGAUAAUUUUGACUGUUGAAUUAUAUGUAAAUUUGUUUUGUCGACUAAAUCUAUCCGAUUUUGUAGUGAAUAGCUAAAAUCUCAGUUGAAAUCACAAUCACCUAGCUAAGUACGCACUGCUGGGGCCUCUGUUUGUGAUUAUUGCACUGAAGAGCCAAAUUUGAUUUUUUUUUAAUGAUGUAAUGGCUAAUGAUUCUGAAUUGUUUUCCCAUUUUAUUGAUUAAUUCUGAACAUGCAAGCUCAACUCUGCUCUAUUGCAAAUAUUCAUGAUGUAUUAAUUUUUAGUAUAUAGAUCUAGAUUUUCCUUAUUCAACUUCACGUGACUCAUCCCAUUUGGUGGUCGAUUGGCGUGAAUGGAAAGAAUCUUUUCUGCAAAUUUUUGUGUGUGAAGACAUUUGGUUGAGUGUUUUAAUUGAGUAUUAAAUAACCAUAAGAGUUACUGCAAUUUCGCACGUAUAUAGAGCCAUAUGAUCUUGAAUGUGUUUGUGUAACUUGUAAAAUCAGGUUAUCACUCCUUUUAAAUUGUUCUUAGCUACAAUUUUGGCAUAGUGAAGCUUAAUUGGUUGUUAAGUUUACUUCUUCCAUAACUUUGGCCUCACAAUAAUCUCAAACUUAAAAAUAGAAAAAUAACCUUGAACAUCGUAGCUUGCUUUAGACGCGAUUAAUAAAUCGUCGUGGCUAUGGGUACGAUUCCCGUGGCAUAGUCAUGAUACCUAAUUCUCAAAUUCGGGUGUGCAUUUCAUGUGACCCGAUUAUAAUAACUUCGAAUAAUAAAACCUUGUUUAAAUAAUUUGAGGUGUGCCAUGCCAAAUAAACCCCUAAGCCCAUGGCCCUCACAAAACUAGUUAGCUUUAUAUAGAAAAUUUAAGGUGUGCCAUUUUCAUUAAAUAACCCAUGGUCCUCAUAUAAUGAAUACUAACUCUUUGAAAAUCGGGGUGUGCCAUCAAUUGAACUUUCCAUGGCCCUCACAAAUGUAGUUAUUAAUUCGAACUUUCGUAUUUGCUUUAGGCGCGUUCCAUAAAUUGAUUUUCUUUUAUUUAUUAAAUUUGGGUGUACAUUUCAUUUGAUCCAAUUUCAAUUCUUUACAAUGUUAAAUAAAAUGUGUCGCGAACCGCGGGUGCAUUUCAUGUGGCGUGGUUCAAGACAUGUUUAAAUAACGUUGAAUCUUCUUAAAAGCGUUUUAAAAUAAUUAAAAGCGGUUAAUAAACUAAAAAUGCACAAUAUGUUAAAACAUGUAGUUAAUCAGAUAAUAGGCCAAUUAUAAUAGUUUAAGCGACAGUGAUAGAACCACGAAACCCGGGAAUGUCUAACACCUUCUCCCAGGUUAACAGAAUUCCUUACGUAGAAUUUCUGGUUCGCAGACUUCAAAAGGAAAGUCGAAUUUCCUCGAUUUGGGAUUUUAAAAUAAACCGGUGACUUGGGACACCAAUUAAAAUAUUCCAAGUGGCGACUCUGAAGAAUUAAAUAAAUAAUCUCAUUUCGAAUAAUGUCACUUAAAUUGGAAAAACUCUCUUAUACUCCCUCUCGGGUGUGUAAAAAAGGAGGCGUGACAACACCAACCGGACUAAGCCUCUCAUACGCUUCUCACCAGGUAAAGGCAGCUCCAGUGAACUGAAAAGUAGUGAACGAGACCCCACUAGUCUCCAGAAUACCUGUUGUACGGAGAAUCCUCUGAUAUUUAUCUAAGAAACCCUGGUCAUCCUCGCCCUUCGCAUUGCUGAAAGUAGGAGGCUGGAGCCUCCCAAACCUCUCCAACCUACGCUGCUCAUCAUCAGGCAUGACUGAAACCAUAUAGUCUUGAGCAGCUACAACUGGCUGGGCUGAUGGUGCCCCCGGUGUCUGGAGUUUUUGCACCACCUGCUCUAGUAUGCAGGCGGUAGGAGUCUGAGUACCUCUCCCGGCCUGGGAAGUGGCUUUUGCAGCAAAAACUAAGACAUCCUGAGCAAGACUGAUGCACGCGGUCAGAAUUUGAGCUAAGGCGUCCUGAAGGCCUGGGAUCACGAUGGGCACAGUUGGUGCUUGAGCUGGUCCCGCUGGUGCAUCCACAAUUGGGACCUGAUCCUGAACUAGGGCAACUAGUGGAUCUGCAGGUGCUGCCCUAGCUAUUGUGCAGGCUACACCUCUGCCCCUACCAUGGCUUCUACCGCGACCUCGACCUCUCGCGGCCCCAACUGGUGGCACUGGUGGCUGUCCGUCUUGUCCAGUAGCACGUGAUCUCACGAUCUGUGAGAGAAUAAAACAAUAGAAGUUUAGGUACCAGUAUCAACAGAUUCACACGAUGAGAAUUCAAGAAUGUUAAGUUUCCUAAGAGUUCUGCAGCCUCUCGAAGAUAAGUACAAACGUCUCCGUACCGAUCCGCAAGACUUUACUAAACUCGUUCAUGACUCUUGAGACCUAUGUAACCUAGGCUUUAAAACCAACUUAUCACGACCUAAAAUCAACCAUCGUGAUGGCGCCUAUCGCGAAACUAGGCCAGCCUCAACUCAACAAUCCAACACAGUAAAAUAACCUUAAAAAUAAUGACGGAAGCAAUUAACAUAAAAGAAACCUUUUUGAAAACAUAACAAAUCCCAAAGUGCGAUACAAUCCAGCCCAAAACCGGGGUGUCACUGAGUACAUGAGCGUCUAUUCGGAAUACAAUCCACUACAGAGUCUAAAGAAAACAACUGAAAAUACAUCAAAUAAUAAAAAAAAAGAGUCAAGGCCUGCGAACGCUGUGCAGCUACCUUGAUAGUCUCCAGACUUUGGGGCCUCAAUAAGCAACCGUCACCGUGAAUAGAGUCGCAUGGAUUUGCACACGAAGUGCAGAGAGUAACGUAAAUACACCAACGUAGUAAGUAACAAGUCAAAACGUUGGACUAAAAGGUAGUGACAAACUCAACCACAACAGAUAUAAUAGAAACAAAUGUGCAGAAAUGUAGGCAUGCUUUCAAGUUAAAUAGACAGCUCAAAGCAAUAAAGUAAAUAGAGAUCUGGAAAGUUUAAGGUAUAUAACUCAACUAUCCCUACAUGCCAAUGCACAUACUGUAUGAAAUGCACCAUGUGCUCCCACUCUCAAGUUCUCAACCACUCGGUACUAUAUAUGGUCAUCCGGACCAGGGAAGACCCAUCCCGGAACAUAUACAACACUGACUAUAAGUCACCCAGUACCGAGGAAAAGGGAAAUCCAACCAUGUGGAGAAGAUCCAUCUCCAGGUAUCAAGUACUUCAGACAAGAUCUAUGUCCAGGGAAAUUCAUCCCUCAAUAAUACCAUUCGCACUCACUGGGGUGUGUUACAGACUUCAGAGGGGCUCCUAUAGCCCAAACGCUAUCACCAAUCAAUAUAAUUACUACGACGUACAACCCGAUCCCAUAACUGUCACUUAUAAUCAGGCUCUCAGCCUCAUUCAGUCAUCAAUCUCUCUAGUCUCACCACGGGCUCACAAUGUCAUGAAACUAACCAGGAAUAAUGAUAUGAUGAAUCAAUAAAUAAUUGAAACUGAGAUAUAAUAUAAAAUGCAUGAACAUGACUGAGUACGGAAUAUCAAUGGAAAUAGUGAGAUGACAGUAAGAAACGACUAUUAAGGGUCCCAACAAUACCAGUAUAAAGCCUAAACAUGAUAUCUAGUAUGAUUUACAGCUCAAUUACUUUAUCACAUGAUGAAAAUAUGGAUAUCAACAUGAUAGAGUCACUAAACGGUGCCAUGGAAUCACCCAGGUCACAAUUCUCGCAGUGCACGUGCGGCGCCCGUCACUUGGCAUGUCUGUCACCUCAAUACCAAUUACAUAACACAUAAUUUGGGGUUUCGAACCCUCAGAACCAAGUUUGAAAGCGUUACUUACCUCGAACCAAGCAAAAUCCUACUCCACAAUGCCCUUGCCUCUAAAAUCGGCCUCCAAACAUCCCGAAUCUAGCCACAAGUAAUACAAUACAAUCAAUAUAGGCUAAAGGGAUCAAUUCCACAAGAAAACUACCAAAUUAGAGUCAAAAUCCGAAAUCGACUCAAACCCGACCCCCGGGCCCACGUCUCGAAAUUUGACAAAAGUUACAAAAUCCAAAAGCCCAUUCACUCACGAGUCUAACCAUACCAAAUUUAUCAAAAUUCGAAAUCAUUUGGUCACCCAAAUCCCCAAAACCCACUCUCCAAUUCUCAAGCCCUAAUCUCCCAAAUUUCACCUCAAAAACUCACCGACUAGGUGGGAAAUCAGUGGGGAAACAAAAUUUGUGAUCCAAAGCGAGUUCAAGAAGCUUACCUCAAUAAUCCCCUCGAAAAUCUCCUCCAAAAUUGCCUAAGCCUGAGUCUCAAAUAUGGAAAUAAGAUCAAAAUCGUGAACCCUCGCCUUUUAAGCUUCUGCCCAAACUUUUCGCACCUGUGGGCCCUCUGUCGCAUCUGCGAUGUCGCACCUGCUAAAAUACCAUCACAGGUGCGGAUUCCACUUAAAAUUCUAGGCUCUGCUCCUGCGGCUGCAAAACUGCAUCUACAACUACCGCAGGUGCGGAAAUCCAUCGCACCUGCGACUCCCUUUCGCACUUGCACCCAGCUGCCCUCUUCUGUGAUCCUCGCAGGUGCGGGAACAUCUUCGCACCUGUGACUUCUUCCCAGCUCGUCCUUGGCAGCUUCUACGGCUCCUCCUUCGCUUCUACAGGCUCGCACCUGCGGUUCCCACUCCGCAGGUGCAGUUACACCAGUAGCAGCAACACUUCAGCUAUAAUUUCUCAACUUAAAUCAAGUCGUCAACCACCCGAAAUCACCCCCAGGCCCUCGGGACCACAACCAAACAUACCAACAAGUCCUAUAACCCGAUACGAACUUAGUCGAACCAUAGAAUCACUCCCAAAUAACACCAAAACACCAAAUUACACCCGGAUUCAAGCCUAAAGGACUUCUAAACUUUCGAAUUCCACAAACGACGUUGAAACCUACCAAACCAUGUCUGAUUGAGCUCAAAUUUUGCACACAAGUCAAAAAUCACACCACAAACCUACUCCAACUUCCGGAAAUCCAAACCAACUCCGAUAUCAAAAUUUCCACUACCGGCCAAAAUGCCAAAAUUCUAACUUUCGCUAAUUCAAGCCAAAUUCUACUAUAGACUUCCAAAUCACAUUCCGGACGCGCUCCUAAGUCCAAAAUCACCUAACAGAGCUACCGAAACCAUCAAAUUCAAAUCCAAAGUUAUUUAUACAUAAGUCAACAUCCAGUCAACUUUUUCAACUUAAGCUUUCAAUUAAGAGACUAUGUGUCUCAAUUCACUCAGAAACCACUCCUGACCCAAACCAACUAACCCAGUAUAUCAUAAUAUAACUAUAGAACACAAAAGAAGCAGGAAAUAUGGGAACGAGACUACAACUCUCGAAAUGACCGGCUGGUUCGUUACAAAAUAUCCACAGAAGAUAUUUCUACGGUUUCAUUACAAUUCCAACUUUUUGUAAUUCAGUUGAUAUCUUAUAUUUGUUGAAUAUUAUAACAAAAAAAAUUUAAUUUGAUUUAAUUAUAAAUGUUACUUAUCACGUCACCUUUUCUUGGAAACUGUUGAACAAGAAUUUUCAGUCAAGUUUUACUAUUAGAGGGAAGGGAAAAUUGAGUACAUAUUCAUGGCGACAAGAAAGUCGCAACUAAAAAUAUAUUCGUCGUGGCAAUUUUUGCCUAGUCGCCACCAAAACCUUGCUAAUUUUUGCAUGACUAAAACAUUAUGUAUAUGGUUAAAAUUGGGCCCACUUGAUUUUACUGAUUGACUGAGACCAGGGGGAUGUAUUGAGGAUCAGCCCCAUAGCAUAUAUGGCCGAGAUAUGAGGAUAAGGCAUCGAGUUCGGGAUUCGAGGUACCUAGCAAAAUCGAAACCAGUAAUGAUUGAGGUCGGAGGGGACAAACAUCGUGCAAGACCGAAGAUAGCAUAAUAACGGAAAGGAGAGAUAUUCGUGAUUGGUCGAAGAUCAUGGCGAAAAUCUCGGAACAGAUCAAAUCAAGGGCGGUUGUUUAGCUAAUCAUGGGAUUUACUUCUGUAAUUAGAAUUGUACCAUAGAUAGGAUUCUUCUACUAUAUAAAGGGGGUUCUAAUCAUUUUGUAACCACCUUACAUUCACGCAUAUAAAAGUAAUAUAUUACAUUUUAUUCCUUGCAAGCUCUAUUGUUCAGUUCAUACUUUCAUUAGCUUGUUCAGUUGGUUUGAGGGCAAUUAGCUCGAGGGUCAUAAUCG